AAAGCCAAUGGAUGGAAUGGGUCCAAUUUGCGUACCCUUCUGCUUUUGCUUCUUCUCCUCUAUUCCUUCUUUCCCUCCGCCACCAGGACUCCAACGGUGGCGUCGGUUUUGGGGUGUAAUAAAACUUUAUGAGGAGACGGCAAUUU
ensembl:ncRNA R13F6.12 ncRNA